AGAGUUUGAUCCUGGCUCAGAAUCAACGCUGGCGGCGUGCCUAACACAUGCAAGUCGAGCGAGAAAGGGGCUUCGGCCCUGAGUAAAGCGGCGCACGGGUGAGUAACACGUGGGUAAUCUGCCCUCGAGUGGGGAAUAACAUCGGAAACCGAUGCUACUACCGCAUACGAUCAUGGAGUCUUCGGAUUUUGUGAUGAAAGGAGCAAUCCGCUCUUGGAGGAGCCCGCGGCUGAUUAGCUAGUUGGUAAGGUUAUGGCUUACCAAGGCUACGAUCAGUAUCCGGUCUGAGAGGACGGUCGGACACACUGGAACUGAGACACGGUCCAGACUCCUACGGGAGGCAGCAGUUGGGAAUAUUGGACAAUGGGGGAAACCCUGAUCCAGCAAUGCCGCGUGAAUGAUGAAGGCCUUCGGGUCGUAAAGUUCUUUUAGCAGGGAAGAAGGGAAACUUGACUGUACCUGCAGAAAAAGCACCGGCUAACUCCGUGCCAGCAGCCGCGGUAAUACGGAGGGUGCAAGCGUUGUUCGGAAUUAUUGGGCGUAAAGCGCGUGUAGGCGGCUUGAUAAGUCUGGUGUGAAAGCCCGGGGCUUAACCCCGGAAGUGCACUGGAUACUAUCUAGCUAGAGGGUCGGAGAGGGAAGCGGAAUUCUUGGUGUAGGGGUGAAAUCCGUAGAUAUCAAGAGGAACACCGAUGGCGAAGGCAGCUUCCUGGCCGACAUCUGACGCUGAGACGCGAAAGCGUGGGUAGCAAACAGGAUUAGAUACCCUGGUAGUCCACGCCCUAAACGAUGGAUACUAGAUGUUGGAGUCCCUAAUAGCUUCAGUAUCGUAGCUAACGCGUUAGUAUCCCGCCUAGGAAGUACGGUCGCAAGAUUAAAACUCAAAGGAAUUGACGGGGGCCCGCACAAGCGGUGGAGCAUGUGGUUUAAUUCGAUGCUACGCGAAAAACCUUACCUAGGCUUGACAUCCUGCGCUACCCUAUGAAAGUAGGGGUUCCCUCACGGGACGCAGUGACAGGUGCUGCAUGGCUGUCGUCAGCUCGUGUUGUGAGAUGUUGGGUUAAGUCCCGCAACGAGCGCAACCCUCGCCGUUAGUUACCAUCAUUAAGUUGGGCACUCUAACGGAACCGCUUGGCUAUAAGCCAGAGGAAGGUGGGGAUGACGUCAAGUCCUCAUGGCCUUUAUGUCUAGGGCUACACACGUGCUACAAUGGGGAGGACAAAGCGCUGCUACUUCGCGAGAAGAUGCUAAUCGCAAAAACCUUUCCUCAGUUCGGAUUGGAGUCUGCAACUCGACUCCAUGAAGCUGGAAUCGCUAGUAAUCGUGGAUCAGAACGCCACGGUGAAUACGUUCCCGGGCCUUGUAUACACCGCCCGUCACACCAUGGGAGUUGGUUUUACCGGAAAACGUAGAGCUAACCGUAAGGAGGCAGACGUUUAUGGUAGGCCCGAUGACUGGGGUGAAGUCGAAACAAGGUA
rnacentral:rRNA from 1 species